UGGGGAAUAUUGCACAAUGGACGGAAGUCUGAUGCAGCAACGCCGCGUGCGGGAUGACGGCCUUCGGGUUGUAAACCGCUUUUUCUCAUGACGAAGUUUUUUGACGGUAGUGGGGGAAGAAGCACCGGCUAACUACGUGCCAGCAGCCGCGGUGAUACGUAGGGUGCGAGCGUUGUCCGGAAUUAUUGGGCGUAAAGAGCUUGUAGGCGGUUUGUCGCGUCGGUAGUGCAAACUCAGUGCUUAACGCUGAGCCUGCUGUUGAUACGGGGAGACUAGAGGAAGGGGAGGGAGAAUGGAAUUCCCGGGGGGGCGGGGGAAUGCGCAGAUAUCGGGAGGAACACCGGGGGCAAAGGCGGUUCUCUGGGCAUUUCCUGACGCUGAGAAGCGAAAGCGUGGGGAGCAAACAGG
rnacentral:rRNA from 1 species